CAGCAGCCACGGGAAUACGGAGGGGGCUAGCGUUGUUCGGAAUUACUGGGCGUAAAGCGCACGUAGGCGGCUUUGUAAGUCAGAGGUGAAAGCCCGGGGCUCAACCCCGGAAUUGCCUUUGAGACUGCAUCGCUUGAAUCCAGGAGAGGUGAGUGGAAUUCCGAGUGUAGCAGUGAAAUGCGUAGAUAUGCGGAGGAACACCGAUGGCGAAGGCAAUCCCCUGGGCCUGUACUGACGCUCAUGCACGAAAGCGUGGGGAGCAAACAGGAUUAGAUACCCCCGUAGUCCCUGUCUCUUAUAC
rnacentral:rRNA from 1 species